GGAGUCACGCCAGAAAUCUUACCCGGAGAGACAGCAGAAUGAAGGUCAAGCUGAAGACUUUACCAGACAAGCUGAGAGGUGGUGCAUGGCCGUCGCCAGCUCGUGCCGUGAGAUGUCCUGUUAAGUCAGGUAACGAGCGAGAUCCCUGCCACUAGUUGCCAUCAUUAUUCUCAGGAAUAGUGGGGCGAAUUAGUGGGACUGCCGUUGUUAAAACGGAGGAAGGAAGGGGCUACGGCAGGUCAGUAUGCCCCGAAACUCUGGGGCCACACGCGGGCUGCAAUGGUAGUGACAAUGAGUUCCAAACUCGAAAGAGAGUGGCAAUCUCUAAACGCUACCACAGUUAUGACUGAGGGCUGCAACUCGCCCUCACGAAUAUGGAAUCCCUAGUAACCGCGUGUCAUUACCGCGCGGUGAAUACGUCCCUGCUCCUUGCACACACCGCCCGUCGUUUCAUCGAAGUUUGCUUUUAGCGAGGUGAUGUUUAAUUGGCAUUAUCGAACUUGAGGUAAGCGACGAGGGAAAAGUCGUAACAAGGUGUCCGUAGGGGAACCUGCGGACGGAUCA
rnacentral:rRNA from 1 species